rnacentral:lncRNA from 1 species
GUUGAGAAUUUUUCUGCUUUGUGACAUCAAAAUUUCUGUAACUAAAUUUAAAAAAAAUUUAAAGCAUUAAAUGAUUUAUAAAAAUAAAAACAAAAACUCUGGCAAUAGGCAAUGAUUUCUUAUUCAAUUGGAAGACUGUACUGACCAAUAUAUAUGAUAUCUUUAUGGGGAAUUAAAUAUUGUUUAUUCAGGAUUUUCACCGGGGAUAUGGAUCAUAUGGUCAUUGUUUUAUAUUUCCUGACCCCAAGGCGAAGAUGAUAUACAGAAGAACACUGAGAGGGAGUAUGAGCUCAUAUAUCAUCACUUAUAGUAUUCUAAUGUGUGCUGAUUUAAAAAAAAAUACAACUCUGAUCAGUCCUUUUGUUCUCAGGGUGUUUACCCUCUCAAGGUAACCAUCCAAAUUGGAGGAUUAGCCAGGAUAUUUCUAUCCAGUAUGGUAAUUAUGUAUAUGCUAUUUCAUUAUCAAUGGCCUUUUACUUUCAAUUUAUCAAAUAAAAGUCUUCAUAAAUGUAUUUCUAAGCAUGAUAAGAAUUAUAAAUCUAAGUUAUGUCUUGUCUUCUCAUUAUUAUCAAUGCCUCAUAUUAUGUAUUUGGAUGCUUGUUUGCCUAAUACCCAGUGGCAAAUAUUAGCAGGAAUUAAAUGCCAAUAAUCUAUAAAUUAAAAAACCUUACAACCAGAAAACAGUUUUCUUACUCUUAUUUAUGAAAUUAUAUGUUUUAUACAUCUUAAUCUUAUUCUUUCAACAUAUACAUGAUAUAGAAGAACACAUAAUUGAUUGCAACCUGGUUUUUUUUGGGGUUUUUUGUUUAUUAAUUUGCUAUUUUAUUUACUCUCUUUAAUCAUACAACUUUAUAUAAAUAAUAGCAUAGUUAUAAUAAUAAUACAUCAAAUUAAAAUAAUAUAUUUUAAUGAUGAAAGGGAAUAAAUAAAUUAAAAUGCCCUUCUUAAAUCAUUAUAAGAUAU